rnacentral:tRNA from 1 species
GAGGGCAUAGCUCAGUGGUAGAGCACAUGCUUAGCAUGCACAAGGUCCUGGGUUCAAUCCCCAGUAUCUUCA